rnacentral:rRNA from 1 species
CAAUAGCGUAUAUUAAAGCUGUUGCGGUUAAAAAGCUCGUAGUUGGAUUUCUGUCAAGGACAACUGGUCCGCCCUCCGGGUGAGCACAUAGUUUGGUCUUGGCAUCUUGCUGGAAACUGUUGCUGCGCUUGGUUGUGUGGUGCAGCUUUCAGCACUUUCACUUUGAGGAAAUUGGAGUGUUUCAAGCAGGCACAUGCCUUUGGACACAGUAGCAUGGAAUAAUUAGAUUGGGCUUUUGCUCCAACUUGUUGGUUCCUGGAGCUGAGGUGAGAAUCAAUGGGGAUUGUUGGGGGCAUCCGAAUUUAGCCGUCAGAGGUGAAAUUCUUGGAUCUGCUAAAGACGGACAACUGCGAAAGCGUUUGCCAAGGAUGUUUUCAUUGA